UACAAAUUUCCAAUGAUGAAUGUCAUUAAAAAAAAGAGCAGCUUUUGCCAGAAAGGCAGAUUAAAUUAUAGUGUGAUAUGUAGCUCAACUCACCACACACACACACACACACACACACACACACACACGCACGCACAAAAGUUAGUGGUGGUUAUUUGAUCAAUUUGUCAAUUGCCCUUCAGACAACUGUUUUUAGAGCCAAUUAGAUUUCUAGUUAGGAGGAAGAAGAAAAAAAGAGGAAGGACCAAAUGUUUGUUGAAUGUUUCUGCAAGUCAGGCUGGAACAAUCCUUGCUUGGUGCUUUAUAUGUGUUUUCCUAUUUAAUCAUCAAGGUAAUUUUCCAGGUAGUAACUAUUUGACAGGUGAGAUAACUAAGGGCUCAGCGAAGGUAAGAAGUUUUACAUGGUCAGAACUAGUAUAUAGGCAGAGUCAACCUUCAGAACCAUGUUUGAUCAACUCCCCCACUUAUACUUUCUGGUAUUCCACGCAGCCUCCCAGGAAACAUGUUUGUUAUAUAUCAAAAUUUAGAGACUAUAAUUUAAGGCCAGAGCAUAUGCUUGUAUUACUUCAAACCAUGUGAAAAUUCUAAUAUUAAAUUGUUUUGACCUACAAAAAUGGCAACAUAAACAUUUUUACAAAAAUCAUAAAGGUCUGCAAAUAGCGGUAAAUAUUCUAUUAUGAAAAUAAUGAUUAAAUUAAUUUAUUGUCAAUUAUUAUCUGAUUGUAACAUUACAUUCAUGCAAACAGCAGCAGUAUGCAAAUAUUACAAUGGUUUUGUUUAAAUAAGUGUGUAAACAAUAACUUUAAAAGGUAAUAAGGGAUCAAAGGGAUAACAAGAAUUUAAAAUAUCAAAAGAGAUAAAUGAAAGCAGAAAUAUUAAAUAUCCCUGAUUUGCCCAUGGUAACACAGCAUUACUAGACAUUAGGUGUGCUUAUGUGAAAUUGGCAGCUAAAUUUCUCUCAGACAUAAAGUACCAAACUCAUUAAAUUAUUAGAAUGAUUAUUUAAAGCAUAUUUGCCUAGAACUAGAAAGGUUGAAAACAAAAGUAUUAGAUAAAUGUUUAAGGUAGAGCUGAUAGAAAAUUCUCUUAUUAAAGUUCUAGAUGAUAAACUGGUAAAGUGCACUCACUUUUAUGACCCUGGACUUUCCACCUUCAGAACUACGAGUUCUUCCUUUUAUAAAUUAACUAGUCUCAGGUAUUCUUCAAAGCAAAGGAAAAUGAACUAAGACAGAAUCUCAAGGAAGUUUCAGGGAGCUUGAUUAUACAAAUGUAAUCUCCUUUACUGAAAGAAUGUGUUCCUGCCUAGUGAGGAAGCAAAUACACCCAAUACGGGCAUUGUCUUGGUACAUAGUCAGAGCCUGGGAAAUACUAUCUUUGUUAUUAUAUAGAUCGUUGACAGCAGGAGAAAAAGUUCCCCUUAGUUUUUGGACUCUAGAACGGGUUUCAACAUGGCCCCCUCCCAAUUGAAGUUCUAUUAUGGCCAGGAAGACCUAGCAUUGGGUGGGGCCUGAAAAUGAGAAAAAAUAGAAUGGAAUGGAUUUUUUUUUAUUUGCUCUAUGGUCAAAACACAUGAAUGUAAUCAUUGAAAUUGUGAAGUGCUAUAAAAAACAAAGAAUUAUGAUUUCUGUUUUUAGAUGAUUUUUUAAUAAUGGACUUGAGGCACAAGUACCAUCUUAAUGAUCAAUUUUGUUAUGGGAUGGCUUGUUGAAGGGAUAAUUUAAAGAGAUUUAAAAGAAGUCAGAAUUUGCUUUGAACUGGUGCUGGAAUGACACUUGAGUGUCUGGUAAACUCUUUGAAUUUGUUAUAUAAAAAUCUAGUGUUCAUAUUACUAUUUUCACAUCCACAAAUGUGGACAAAGUUUGACUAUGUACUUUUUUGUUUUGUUUUUGAUGUUUGAUGUCUCGGCAUCUAGAGAGCCACUAUUUGAAUUUAUCUCCUCUGUGAAUGACUAAGAGGAUACAGGGUUGGGGGUUUGAAAGACAUGGUCAGCGUGAACACAGCAGUGACAUGUAGCCCACAGAUUCCAAGACUGAGCAAGCCAGAUGUCUUCAAGCAUAGUAGAGCGAGCACCGGGUGUUCCCAUGGGAAUCAUAACUAGACUUCGGGUGAAUUCUGGUAUCUCGGAAUGAAAAAAAUCUCCUUUUGUCUGACACUAUCCAUAAUUUCUGGUUCAAGAACCACUUGUAGAGAUUUUUCAGGUAGGUGCUUAAGAAAUUCUGGUAUCCUCUGGUCUUCUGUCUUCUAAUGUAAUGAUGCUCUGCCCUGUGAAGGAUUUUUAAGAAGUUUGAGUCAGAAGUUAUUGGCCUUAAUGUAGUAGAAAACUGGGGUAAGUAUAACCUAGAUUAUUAUUGUUACUGUUUUAACUUUAAUAGAAUAAGAUCUCCUUUUUGGGUCUCAGCAGAAACUUUUAUGACAGUAUUUUCCUGCUUUAUCAAACCAUGGCAACUAGAAAAAGGAUAACAUUUGUACAUAGCAAUUUGAGUUAAGGUACUGAGUUUGCUCAAGCAGCAGAUAACUGAAAAAUCUUGUCCAGCUUCCCUGAGGACUGAGGGGAUCCACAUGCCCAGCAUAUCCAUUCAAGCUCAGAGGUGGAAGUUUUUGCUGAAGGAGGAACUAUAUCUGUUACAUACUGAACUAUAUCUGUUACAUAGUGAACAAUGGUGCACCCUAGUUUAAAUUGUGUUGGCAAAUACUGUGUACUACAUCCUGUUCUACACACUCUAUUAACUCACUUAAUGUUUACACCAGUCCCAGGAGAUUGAUAUUAUUGUUAUUCCAAUUAUCUAUGAGAGGAAGCAGAGGCAUGUAAAGACUAAGCAACUGACCGAAGUUCACACACAUGACAUAGUAAUUGACAGAACCAAAAUUUGGACCUAACUGAUCUGGCUCCAGACUUGUACUCUUAGCUAGUACAUUAUAUUGCCUGAAGGGAGAAGUUGUAAGAAGAAGGAUGAACUAAGUCAAUAACCUAUGUAGUAUCAGAGCCAAGAUUUUGGGUCUUUAAUGAUUUGAAAAGAUUUUUGACAGCACAAAAUCUUGCUAAACAUAGGCAUCAGACCAGGGCCAGGGUGGAAUACAGCACAGAAAAAAUUUUGAAGUUCAUACUCAUAACUGAAUUUUGGGGCUUGUGCAGAGAUAUGCAAAUUGUGCCUUUUGUUUUCUGAGUGUAAAACCAUUAACCUCCAAUAAGAAUUGGGAGAUUUUGCAUAGAAGCUUUCUCUUUCUCUCUUUUUUUGUGGUGCUGGAGCUCAAACUCAGGGUCUUGUGCUUCUAGGUAAACGUUUUUCUAUUGAACUACAUCCUCAACCUUAGGAAAUACUUUUUAUAAUUUACUUUUAAAAAUUCUCAAGAUAGAAAGGGAGUUUUGGAGUAUAAGGAGCUCAUGUCCCAGGGAGAGAUAGAGGGAGUGCUUGUCCACAGAGAGAUGGUUUCAUUCUAGCCUGCCAGAGCAGAGAUUGCCUAAAUGUCACUGGACUCACCAACAUAGGGCUGAAGAGAGGCAUAUUUGGCAAAAGACAGGGCUGUGAUUUGGGAGUUUAGGAUAAUUAUGCUGAGUCCUGGUGUUACUUUCCAGUACCUUAUGCAAGUACAACUCACCCUCAAAGAGUCAGGUCAAUUGAUUUACUGAUUCCUUCUCUUGUACCAUUCCCAUUGACAAAGACAAACAAGGUGGAAAGCCUCCUGGCUCCCUAAUCUUGUGACCAUCCAGUUGGAAGACAUCCAUGCCUCAUGCAGUCAGCUGGCCAGAAGAGAAGACCUGACAGUGGACUUCAAGACUCUACCGAAUGGCAGAAUCAUAAGUGGAAGGUGCUUCGUUGGUUGAGUCACCACAAAGAAGAAAUCUACUUCUCUGAUCAGAACAGCCAACUGGACUUUGUGGUGGUGGACUUUGUCAACUUGAUUGGCUCUGGAGCAUGGUGUUCCUGUCUUGGAGCUGAGUGACCAUGGACCAAGCCUCUGAAUCCUCCAGUCAUGUGUCAAGCAGAAAGGGACAAUCCUGCCAGUAUUGACCCUUUGUUUUAAGAGGACGAUCAACAGCUGUUCCUGCUAACAUAUGCUUUGGAGGAGCUCCCGAGGGCAAUGUCCGAGAAUUUGAAAUUCUACUUUUCACAUUGUUCCAUCAGAGGCAGCUUGCUCUGGAUCCAAAGGAACUCCCAGAAAAUUUGAUGAGAAGUAUCUGGAUUUACUGACUAUAUGAGUUGUUGGAAAGGCUCAUUUCUUUCUAUUAACAAUUAAAAACAUACCACUCCAACCCUUCAUUCUAGUGAUUUAGAUAUAAAUUCCUCCCCCCAAAACUAAAGAUAUAAUAUAUAACUUUCUUCUUUUUAAUGUAUAUGCUUUGGAAUAACUUUAUUGUACUUUUGUAUUCAGCCUUUAUUGAAAAUAUUUUAUCAGGGGACUGGUAGCUUAGUAGAACUUGGGUAGAUGCUGGUUUUUCAGGGUUCUGGUGGGUAUACCAAUGAUACAUGAUUCCUUAUAAAACUAUUAAUGUGAUGAGGAAGGUAUGUAUACACUUCAUGAAAUGAAGUGAAUAACAAGAAAACAAGGGCAGGAAUAUGCUGAGUGUGACCUAAGUAUGUAAGCAUACACUCUUUGGUUGUCCAAAACUUUAGGUGGGGGGUGGAAACAAUAGAGAUGGGGUUAGGUGUGAUGAGUCAUAUUUAAACCCUGCCCAGCAGCAACUAGUAAUACUUGUCUCUAGUAACCCGGUACCAAGAAAAUUGAUUUAAUGCUGCUAUACCAUGUUUCUCCUUUGGAAGUGCUUGUGUGAGCUACUGUAUCAAUCCUGUAAUAAAGAAUUUUCACUUUCUUUGCAUUAAGUGUGGGGAAUACUGUGAUUGACAGCAAAUUUCAUAGGCAGACACUCUGUUUUGAGAAGAAAUACUGGGGCAGAAAUAUAUUUUUUGACAUUUCAAGGUGGCCUUUCUGUGAGUUAUUGCUGAGUACUCUGUGACUGCCACAUUUGUUUACACCAUCCCUGGACUACCAGUGCUGGAUUCAUAGUUUGUAUUGCUUUAUGGGAUAAUUCAUAUAUAAGGGAUUCCAUAUAAAAAUCAGUGUUUAUUUCUUUUUGCAUUAUGCUUUUGGAGACUGACAUGUAAAGGUGCUUUUUAUGCAGCAUGCAGGAAAUUAAGCACUCAACUCCAGUUAAAACCACUAGGAACCAGGCUCCUGGUGUUUCAGCUGGAGCAAUGGAAAGGGGCUCACAGGUGUGCAAGUAAAUUGAAACAAAGACAGGGAAGAUCUCAGAUAUUUAUUCAGCUGUUGAAAGUUUUAUUGGCAACUAAGCUACAAAUAAUGUGAAUUAUAUUACUGAGUGUUUGCUGAGAA